rnacentral:rRNA from 1 species
CUACGGGUUGCUCCAGUGAGGAAUAUUGGACAAUGGGCGGAAGCCUGAUCCAGCCAUGCCGCGUGCAGGAAGACGGCCCUAUGGGUUGUAAACUGCUUUUAAACGGGAAGAAUAAGGCCUACGUGUAGGUUGAUGACGGUACCGUAAGAAUAAGGACCGGCUAACUCCGUGCCAGCAGCCGCGGUAAUACGGAGGGUCCGAGCGUUAUCCGGAAUUAUUGGGUUUAAAGGGUCCGUAGGCGGGCUAUUAAGUCAGGGGUGAAAGUUUGCAGCUCAACUGUAAAAUUGCCUUUGAUACUGGUAGUCUUGAGUUGUAUUGAAGUGGCUGGAAUAUGUAGUGUAGCGGUGAAAUGCAUAGAUAUUACAUAGAACACCGAUUGCGAAGGCAGGUCACUAAGUACACACUGACGCUGAUGGACGAAAGCGUGGGGAGCGAACAGGAUUAGAUACCCCAGUAGUC